GAUCCCUUUAGUAACGACGAGCGAACCGGGAUAAGCCCACCAUGAGAAUCGGUCGCCCUCGGCGUUCGAAUUGUAGUCUGGAGAAGCGUCCUCAGCGGCGGACCGGGCCCAAGUCCCCUGGAAAGGGGCGCCGGAGAGGGUGAGAGCCCCGUUGUGCUCGGACCCUGUCGCACCACGAGGCGCUGUCGGCGAGUCGGGUUGUUUGGGAAUGCAGCCCCAAUCGGGCGGUAAAUUCCGUCCAAGGCUAAAUAUUGGCGAGAGACCGAGAGCGAACAAG
rnacentral:rRNA from 1 species